rnacentral:misc_RNA from 1 species
AAGUCGUAACAAGGUUUCCGUAGGUGAACCUGCGGAAGGAUCAUCAACAAAUCUAUACUGUUGGGUGUAAAAGCCCAACAAAUACCAAUGUGAAUUGGGAGGGCAACCUCUCUAGGCCAAUUUUUGGCCAAGUAUACUAGACCAGAGUCGGAUAAGUAAAAAUAAUAUAAACAACUUUUAACAAUGGAUCUCUUGGCUCUU